rnacentral:rRNA from 1 species
GGGGGCAACCCUGGCGGCGAGCGGCGAACGGGUGAGUAAUACAUCGGAACGUACCCAGGAGUGGGGGAUAACACAUCGAAAGAUGUGCUAAUACCGCAUACGCCCUGAGGGGGAAAGCGGGGGAUCGCAAGACCUCGCGCUGUUGGAGCGGCCGAUGUCGGAUUAGCUAGUUGGUAGGGUAAAGGCCUACCAAGGCGACGAUCCGUAGCUGGUCUGAGAGGAUGAUCAGCCACACUGGGACUGAGACACGGCCCAGACUCCUACGGGAGGCAGCAGUGGGGAAUUUUGGACAAUGGGGGCAACCCUGAUCCAGCCAUUCCGCGUGAGUGAAGAAGGCCUUCGGGUUGUAAAGCUCUUUCGGCAGGAACGAAACGGCGGGCUCUAACAUAGCCUGUCAAUGACGGUACCUGAAGAAGAAGCACCGGCUAACUACGUGCCAGCAGCCGCGGUAAUACGUAGGGUGCGAGCGUUAAUCGGAAUUACUGGGCGUAAAGCGUGCGCAGGCGGUUUUGUAAGACAGCUGUGAAAUCCCCGGGCUUAACCUGGGAACUGCGGUUGUGACUGCAAGACUAGAGUGCGGCAGAGGGGGGUGGAAUUCCACGUGUAGCAGUGAAAUGCGUAGAGAUGUGGAGGAACACCGAUGGCGAAGGCAGCCCCCUGGGUUGACACUGACGCUCAUGCACGAAAGCGUGGGUAGCAAACAGGAUUAGAUACCCUGGUAGUCCACGCCCUAAACGAUGCCAACUAGGUGUUGGGGAAGGAGACUUCCUUAGUACCGUAGCUAACGCGUGAAGUUGGCCGCCUGGGGAGUACGGUCGCAAGAUUAAAACUCAAAGGAAUUGACGGGGACCCGCACAAGCGGUGGAUGAUGUGGAUUAAUUCGAUGC